UACGAAGGGUGCAAGCGUUACUCGGAAUUACUGGGCGUAAAGCGUGCGUAGGUGGUUUGUUAAGUCUGAUGUGAAAGCCCCGGGCUCAACCUGGGAACUGCAUUUGAGACUGCUCUGCUCGGGUGCGGAAGAGGGAAGCGGAAUUUCCGGUGUAGCGGUGAAAUGCGUAGAUAUCGGAAGGAACACCAGUGGCGAAAGCGGCUUCCUGGUCCGACACCGACGUUCAGGCACGAAAGCGUGGGGGAGCAAACAGG
rnacentral:rRNA from 1 species